ensembl:lncRNA
AGCUCUCAAAAAGACUCCCCGUAUCUAAACCGCGUCCAUCUCUUGAUCAAAACAGCGACUUGGUUGUUGUUUUUUAACCGGACUACACUUCCAAGUCGCCAAGUAAAAAGUGCAUAGCGACGCUCCCGUCGGGCGCGCUCCCGAGUGCGCGCAGCAGAUAAUGACGGACGACCAACGCAAGAUGGCAGCACUCGUCCUGGUAUACACGAUGCACGUUCCACAGCGUGAGCAUACGGCGGGAACACUAGGAGAGAAACGGUGUGGGCCAGACCUGGUGUGUGUGUGUGCAUCUGGAUGAGUUUGUAGACCGCAUGUAUGUUUGCACGUCAACG